UCCUCUCCUCUUCUCUCCUCUUCUCUCCUCUCCUCUUCUCUCCUCUCUCUCCUCUUCUCUCCUCUCCUCUCUCUGAAGUCUGGCUACAAACUUCAACUCCGCCCACCCGGCGCACCGGUUGUUGGAAAUUAAUUUAAAAUACUCAGCUGCCAGCCUUUUUUCCAGCGUUCGUCACUGGUGUGAGAAUUGGUUUGGCAGAGUGAGACCGUGAGAUGGAAGGUGAAUGCGUGUGUUUAACGCCAGAUGUGUGAGAGUUGGCAACCCUGGAUUCAGUCAGGGACUGUUCAUUAGUUUUAAGCCUGGGAGGAGCGUAGGUUUUUAAUUUGGGCUGAGGGGCGGGGCUUAAAGGUUUAAAUGUUCACAGAUGGUCUCCUGCAGACCUUGGUUGUAACGCUUGGUUAUUUCAGUUGUUGUUGCCUUUCCAUAAUCGUGAACCAAUCAGACUGUCUUCCUCUGACCUCGUCACCAUGGUGUUUUGGCUCCCUGGGUAUUUCCUGUCUGUCAGACCGCCCUCCUGUAGAACAGAGUAACCGAAUCAUAUUUCUGUUUUCAGAGAGUGUGCUCUGCUGCCUGUGAUGUUAUGGUGAUGUCAUCAUCGGUGAAGCAGCGGUACCGUGACAUCAGUCCUGUGACUCUGCAGGUGGUGGGCGGGGCCAUGAGCUCCAGUCUGUACUGUGGGGAGGUGGAGGGUCUGUCUGGGGGGCUGGUGGAGUCUUUCCUGGUGGAAUUUUAUCGCUGUAAACUCUGUCAGUUCACCUGCGGCCUCAAAGCCACCAUCAGCAGCCACCUGCUGCUCAGGCACCGGCCCCCCACCCUCACAUACCUGGGGGGUGCUGAUGGAGGGGGCGGGGCUGAGGACCGAGAGGAGGCGGGGCUCCAGCGGGGGGUGUCACCCUAUCAGCUGGAUCUGAACGGAGAAUCGAAGCAGAGUGACGAGGACGAGGAGUUUCUGCUCUACAACAUGCUGGACAACAUGAGCCCACCCACCUGUGAGAUCAGCAGCGAGGGGGGGCUGCAGGUCGCACACACCUGUGAGGUCAGCACUCUGUUCGAGGAGGAAUCUUCCAUCUUUCCUCUGAAGGGAGGGUCAGGGGAUCUGUCCUGUCCCAUCGCCCCCCCUGCCACCCAGGAGGAGAUGGCGCAGUCCGCUCAUCUCAUGACUCUGGGACUGUGUCGCAAAUCAGCUGCCAAAGCUCCUCCUCCUCCUCCUGCCCCUCCCACCUCCUCCCGCCCCAUCCACGCUCCGCUUGAUGACUCCGCCCACCUGUCGCAGCCUAGCAAUGUGAAGCAGAGCGAGACAGACGGCCAGCAGACGAAGACUUCCUCCUGUGGCAAACGGAAGCUGUCGUGUCUCCUGUGUCCUCUGACGCUGCCGUCCAGGCGGCUCCUGGACGUUCAUAUCCGGUCUCACCGGAUGGCCAGUGGGUUCAGCUGCAUCCUCUGCAGCUGGACAGUUGACAGCUGGGAGGAGCUGGAGCCUCACUGGAGGAGCCACUGCAGCAGGAGGAGGAGGGAGGAGCAGAGACAGAAGAAGAAGAAGGUGGCGUUGAGGCCGUUCAGUUGUCCCAUCUGUCUGAGGACGUUCAGGAGUGCUGCCUCAGGAAACGCUCACCGACAAACACAUGAUGGCUCCAGUCAGCGUCACCAUGGCAACCAUUCAGACCUGUGGAGGGGCCGGCUGGUUGGACGAGCAGGACAGAAGGCAGCGGAGCAUGCAGACAGUCAGAGCAGCAGAGGUCAGACGGACUCUCUGCAGAACGUCACACAGAACAAAAAGAGGAAGAGAACGAGAAGAAGCACAGAAGAAGAGAAGGACGCCACAGACACAGACUUCUGUUGCUCUCUGUGCCACAGCUCAACCAGGUGUGUUUCAGGUGUGUUACCUGUUACAGGGCUGUGGUUGGUCACUUCUUUCUGUCCACAGGAAGUUCUCCACCAAACUGACGCUGAGACGCCACCUGGGAAUCCACAGAGGAGACAAACCGUACACCUGUCCUCACUGCUCCUACUGCAGCCGCCUGAAGGCCUCGCUGCUGCAACACUUGAGGACACACACAGGUGAGAAGCCGUACAGGUGUGCUGAGUGUCCGUAUGCUUCUAUAGAUCGCAGCUCUCUGCUCCGACACAUCAGGACUCACAGUCAGGAGAAACCCUACAGGUGUCAACUCUGUGACUACAGCAGUAUCCAGAAGAAG